rnacentral:rRNA from 1 species
UACAGAGGGGGGCGAGCGUUGUUCGGAAUUACUGGGCGUAAAGGGCUCGUAGGUGGCCAACUAAGUCAGACGUGAAAUCCCUCGGCUUAACCGGGGAACUGCGUCUGAUACUGGAUGGCUUGAGUUCGGGAGAGGGAUGCGGAAUUCCAGGUGUAGCGGUGAAAUGCGUAGAUAUCUGGAGGAACACCGGUGGCGAAGGCGGCAUCCUGGACCGACACUGACGCUGAGGAGCGAAAGCCAGGGGAGCAAACAGG